rnacentral:rRNA from 1 species
UGGGGAAUAUUGCACAAUGGGCGCAAGCCUGAUGCAGCCAUGCCGCGUGUGUGAAGAAGGCCUUCGGGUUGUAAAGCACUUUCGGCGGGGAGGAAGGCGUUAAGGUUAAUAACCUUGGCGAUUGACGUUACCCGCAGAAGAAGCACCGGCUAACUCCGUGCCAGCAGCCGCGGUAAUACGGAGGGUGCAAGCGUUAAUCGGAAUUACUGGGCGUAAAGCGCACGCAGGCGGUCUGUCAAGUCGGAUGUGAAAUCCCCGGGCUCAACCUGGGAACUGCAUUCGAAACUGGCAGGCUAGAGUCUUGUAGAGGGGGGUAGAAUUCCAGGUGUAGCGGUGAAAUGCGUAGAGAUCUGGAGGAAUACCGGUGGCGAAGGCGGCCCCCUGGACAAAGACUGACGCUCAGGUGCGAAAGCGUGGGGAGCAAACAGG